CGGAGGAUCCAAGCGUUAUCCGGAAUCAUUGGGUUUAAAGGGUCCGUAGGCGGUUUAAUAAGUCAGUGGUGAAAGCCCAUCGCUCAACGGUGGAACGGCCAUUGAUACUGUUAAACUUGAAUUAUUAGGAAGUAACUAGAAUAUGUAGUGUAGCGGUGAAAUGCUUAGAGAUUACAUGGAAUACCAAUUGCGAAGGCAGGUUACUACUAAUGGAUUGACGCUGAUGGACGAAAGCGUGGGUAGCGAACAGGAUUAGAUACCCUGGUAGUCCACGCCGUAAACGAUGGAUACUAGCUGUUGGGAGCAAUCUCAGUGGCUAAGCGAAAGUGAUAAGUAUCCCACCUGGGGAGUACGUUCGCAAGAAUG
rnacentral:rRNA from 1 species